GCCAUGCCCACUUGUUUACAUUAUUGUCUGGCUGCUUUUACACUACACCAAACUGAGUCACUGGGGCAGAGACCUUAUGUGGUGCAAAGCCUAAAACACUGUAAAUCUUCACUUAAUAUCAUGACAGGUUCUUGAAAAUUGUGACCUUAUGUGAAGCAACGAUAAACCACUUUUUUCUCAUCAAUGUUAUAACUAAACGUUAAAGGAAACUAUUAUUGGAGGACCUGCUGUAUGUCAUUUUGCUUUAAACUUGCAGUUUCCAAGAACCUACUGAUGACAUUAAAUGAAGACUUACUGUAUUUACUCUUUGGCCCCUGUGCCAAUUCCUGAUGCAAUCAGAUAUUCAUAAAUCUAUAUAAAAUACACGUUAUUCUGUAGAAAAAAUAUGAAUGCCUAUGGACCCCACACUUGGAUUUUCUCGAGUACUCAAGGAGCCAGGGUCUCUGUGCACGGCCUCUCCUAGAGUUGUGCAGUGGACAACCUGUGUGGCCAUGUGCUUCUUACCAAAGAUAAUUCCCCUUCCUCUGCCCAGAAGUAGCCAUUAUCCUGACUUUUAUGUCAUUUGUCUUUAUAGAACAUGUAUGUAUCUUUAAAUAAUAUAUUAAAGUUGGGUAGCAAGCAGAAACCUAGCUGUGUACAGAAAAGCGCUCUUGUCUCUGUACUCAAGUUUCCAAGCCAUAGUCAGCCUUUGUGUCCGCGACAGUAGCAGACAGCGCCCCUUCAGGGAAAGUUAGUGGAGGCAAGGUGUGGCAGAGGACUAGACAGUCUUGAAUAUGCCUUUGUUGCCUGAUCCUAGUACCUAGAAGGCACAUUCCUAUGCCUGCCUCCCUACAACUCAAUUCUCGCCUCCCUGCAACUCAAUUCAAUUCUCACUUCUUUGAGACUUUCUCAACCUCCAGUGGACAGUUAACCAUUCUUUCCUCAAUUUCCCACAAAUACUACAUUGCCAACCUGCUCAACCUGCUAUUUUAUGUCAGUGAUGGUUCCUGGGAAAGGAUGUAUUAUAUUUUGACAUUACAAUUCCUGAAGCAAGUCUCAGACAUUACAACCAAACUUGCAAAUAGAGUGAUGCUGUUCUCAGGAGCCUCCCAAGUCCUACAUCUCUGGCUACAAAGAAAGAGCACUGACUACACAGCAGACUGGCUGGCUGGCACUAAUAAUCCCUUCAGACUGAUCACUAUGGUGCUUGUGAGCUCUGCAGCUGAAGUCAUGGGUGCUUUCUUCAGCAAGUAUUUGUUACAUCAUGUAAAAAGCUAUGGCCUUGGCGGGGACAGCGGGGGUCAUAGGGAGAAUAAGAAAUAAGGAAAGGAAACACAGAAUUUUCCACAUUUAAAAUCAUCAUUUGAACACUCAAACUAGAAAAAAGGAGAACUUCAACAUGACAAAGGCCAUAUAUGAAAACCCACAGUGAAUAUCACACUCAAUGGUGAAAGACUGAAAGCUUUGCCUCCAAGAUCAGGAAGACAAGGAUGCUCACUUUUGCCACUUCUGUUCAACAUAAUAUUGGAAGUUUUAGCUAAAGCAAUCAGGCAAGAAAAAAGCAUCCAAAAUGAAAAGGAAAAAGUAUAAUUAUCUCUGCUGACAGAUCACAUGAUCUCAUGUAAAACCCUACAGUUAAAAAGUUAACUACCUGAAAGCUAUAAAAUGUUGCUGAAAGAAAUUUUAAAAGACAUAAAGACAUCCUGUAUUCAUGGAUAGGAAGACUCACUAUUGAUGUCAGUUUUAUUCUAUAUUGAUGUCAACUUCAUCUAUAGAUUCAGUGCAAUCUCAAACCAGUAAAUUAUUUUGUGGAUGGUGACAAAAUUACUCUAAAGUUUAUUAUGGAAUGGCAAAAGACCAAGAAUAGCAAAUACAACAUUGAAGAAGAACAAAAUUGAAAGACAUUCACAUGCCAAAAAAAAAAAAAAAAUUCUAGACACAGACUUUUAUACCCUCCACAAAAACAAAUAAAGUGGACUGAAGGUAUAAAACUUUUAGAAGAUAACAUAGGAAAAAAUCCAGAUGACCUUGCAUUUGGCAAUGGCUUUUUAGAUGCAACACCAAAGGCACAAUCCAUGAAAGAAGGAUUUAUAAGUUGGACUUCAUUAAAAUUAAAAAUUUUUGCUCUGUAAAAGAUACUGUCAAGGGAAUGAAAAGACAGGAUACAAAAUCAACACACAAAAAUUAGCUGCAUUUCUAUACACUAACAAUGUAUUCAUUGUUAGGUAUUUCCAAAAACGAAAUUAACAUAAUUCCAUUUAUAGUAGCAUCAAAAAGAAUAAAGUACUUAGGAAUACAUUUAAGGAGACAAAAGACUUAUACCUGAAAACUACAAAACAUUGCUGAAAGAAAUUUUUAAAGACAUCCUGCAUUCAUAGACUGGAAGACUUGAUGUUGUUAACAUGAUUAUUACUACCCAAAGCAAUCUACAGAUCCAAUGCAAUUCUUCUCAAAAUCCCAAUAGAAAUUUCUGCAGAAAUAGAAAACCCAUCCUGAAACUCACAUGGACUCUCAAGGAAUCCUGAAUAGCCAAAACAAUUUUGAAAAAGAACAACAAAGUUAUAGGACUCAUACUUUCAAUUUUAAAACUUACUACAAAGGUAUAGUAAUCAAAACAGGAUGGCACUGGCAUAAGGACAGACAUACAGACCAAUGAAAAAAACUCUUACUAUAUAGUCAACUGAUUUUUGACAAGAAUGACAAGACUACUCAAUGGGGAAAGGACAAUCUUUUCAAAAGAUGGUGCUGGGGAAACUAGGUAUCAACAUGCAGAAGAAUUAAGUUGGACUCUUACACCAUAUACAAAAAUUUAAAUAGAUCAAAGGUCUUAAACAUAAGUCUUAAAACUAUAAAACUCUUAGAAGAAAAUGUAGGGGAAAAGCUUCAUGACAUUAGAUUUGGCAAUGAUUUUGAUAUGACACCCAAAGCACAGGCAACAAAAGAAAAAAUAGAUAAGCUGAACUUUAUCAAAAUUAAAAAAUUGUGUAUUGAGGGAUACUAUAAAGAGAACCACAGAAUGGGAGAAAAAUAUUUGCAAAUUAUGUAUCUGGAUAAGGGAUUAAUGGCCACAAUAUAUGAAGAACUCCUAAAACUCAGCAACAAACUGAUUCAAAAAUGGGGAAAGGACUUUAAUAGACUUUUCUCCAAAGAGGCACAAAUGACCAACAGACACAUAAAAAGAUGCUCAACAUCACAAUUACUAGGGAAAUGCAAAUCAAAACCAUAGUGAGAUACUACUUCACAGUUACUAGGAUGGCUGUUAUUUAAAAGACAAAAACAAAAGCAGAAAAUAACGUGUUAGCUAGCAAGUGGAGAAAUUAAAACCUUUGUACCGGCUGGGUGCGGUGCCUCACACCUGUAAUCCCAGCACUUUGGGAGGCCGAGGCGGGUGGAUCAUGAGGUCAGGAGUUUGAGACCAGACCAAUAUGGUGAAACCCUGUCUAUACCAAAAAUCCAAAAAAAAAAAAAAAAAAAAAAUUAGCCGGGUGUGGUGGCUGCACACCUGUAGUCCCAGCUACUCAGGAGGCUUAGGCAGAAGAAUCGCUUGAACCCGGAGGCAGAGGUUGCAGUGAGCCAAGAUUGCACCGCUGCACUCUAGCCUGGGCAACAGAGCAAGACUCCAUCUAAACACACACACACACACACACACACACACACACACACACACACACACACACACACAAAAACCAACACAAACAUACAUAUAAACACAUGGAAAUAUAUUUCUUUAAGGGGAAGACUAUCUAGAUACAACAUACCCUUAACAUUCACAGAUUUGGCAACUGCUAUUUUAACUAUUUGAAAAGCCUGAAUGACCCUGAAAUGUACCUCAGUUUAAUAUUUUGCAGCAGCAUGAGUGUGAAUUUCACCUCAGAGCUCACAUGUGGAAGUGAAUUAUAUGGCCUGUAAAGAGUCUAUUAGCAGCCAGGCACGGUGGCUCACGCCUGUCAUCCCAGCAUUUUGGGAGGCCGAGGCAGGCAGAUCACUCGAGGUCAGGAGUCUGAGACCAGCCUGGCCAACAUGGUGAACCCCAUCUCUAUUAAGUACAAAAAUUAGCUGGGCAUGGUGGCUCGUGCCUGCAAUCCCAGCUACUCGGGAGGCUGAGGCAGGAGAAUCGCUUGAACCUGGGAAGUGGAGGUUGCAGUGAGCCAAGAUUGUGCCACUGCACUCCAGCCUGGGUGACAGAGCAAGACUCCAUCUCAAAAAGAGUCUACUAGCUAUCCAGUGUUCACAUUUCAGUAAGGAUCUGAGGAAGCUGCUUAAUAUUUCAUUUGUACUUUACUGCAUUUCCUAAAAGAAAAAAUAUAUAUUUAUAUAAAUAUUAAAAUAAGUAUAUAUGCAUAUAUAUUAUAUAUUCAUAUAUAUAUUAUAUAUUCAUAUAUAUAUGCACCACUUUCUGAAACUCUUAAGAUUCUCAAAGAUUUCAGGGCAUGUAUUUCACAACCGUCAGUCUUCCACAUGAUAUAAACUGUUAAAACAGCAUCUCUAUGGAAAGCAGGAAAUAAAGCUGGUUUGUUGAAGUUAGUUAUUAGGUCAACUUUAUAUACUAUAUAAAUUUAAUUUAGCAAAGCAGUAGUUUGGAAGUAUACAUUAAGUUAAUAUGCAUUUUUUACUAUCCCCCAAAUAGGUAUUAUAAAGGUGACACACAUCGGUUAAAAC
rnacentral:lncRNA from 1 species